UUUAUUUAAAAAAUAUUUAAAGUGCCAAAAAUAUCAUGAUUACUUAUGUUACUGUUAGGACAAAACUUUAAAGAUUGAUAUUUUAUCAUUAUCUCAAUGUCUCUACUCUGCAUACAUGCAGAUUGUCUAGGUAGUCUAAAUUGUCUAUUGGCAGGUACAUCAGCCAAUCUUUUUCUGCAGGUGUUGUGUCUGCCAUUAGACAACAGUUUUUGUUUUUAUGAUAUAAAGUGUUUUGAACUGCCCUGCUGCUGAAAUGUGCUAUACAAAUAAACAUGAUUAAUUGAUUGAACAGAAAUGAUUAAAGGAAGUGACAACAUUGCUGGUGGGAGAUACCAUCUAACUGUUGCCUCUUAAUUAAAGAAAAAUGUAUGAUAAACUAUUUAACUUUGAAAUAUUGAAUGAAAGUUACAAAAUAUUACUCAAAAUUUUCUUGUUCCUGAAAAAAAUCAGACCUUGUGUGCUUCAGAAACAAAAUGGAAUAAUCCUUUUGUUGUACCCCUCCUCCUCUGUCAACGUGGUACAAUCCGUCAAGUCCAGGUGCAAGCCAUUAGUAUUAAUUGAACUUGUUUCAUUUGUUUUGCGUGGAGAAAGAGGUAAGACUCAUACAGAAUCUCUUAAGACAUUUAAGUACAAAUAGUUUUGUAAUUUUGUUGAAUGUUGUAGGUUACUUGAUGCUUGGAUACACCAAAGCAUUUGAUUUGCAGCAUUUUAGCUAGUAAUUACCAACCAUGUUAGUCAGUGUACCAGAGUUUAAAGGGAAGGUGGCUCACUCCAGAAUUAGAUAAAACUGUAUUUGGUCAUUUUCUGUAUAUCAGUGAGUGAUAUUAUUUCACAGGCACAAAUGAUCCUAGGUAAUAAUCAUUAGUAUUAAGAUAAUGUUUUAAUAUUUGAAGAUUUUGAGAAUCUGUCAAUAGAAAGUCAAUUAUGUAGUACUGUGUACUUCAGUACAUUUUCACAUACAAUAACAUCAAAUCAUAUUGUGUACAGCAGGGGUGUCAAACUCAAGGUCUUAAGGGCUGGUGUCCAGCAACUUUUAGAUGCGUUUCUGAUGCCACAUGGCUGGAUAAAAUGGGGUGGUCAUCAACUUGAUUGCACUGAGAAGCUAAUUCAGUCAUAUACUUAAGGUGUUUUAGACCAGAAAAACAUCUAAAAGUUGCAGUACCCUGGCCCUCGAGGCCUGGAGUUUGACACCCCUGGUGUACAGUAUCAUGUUGUAUUCUCUGAUCUUUGCAGGAGAUGUCAACAACAAGGUCUCAGAGAGCAAACAUGAUUCCAGUUAUUUCUCCUUAGGUGAAGAUAAAGAAGGAUUUGAUGUAAAAUACCUCAAUUCAUUUAAAGAUUUCCAAAGAUGAACUGUCAGGUUGGUGAUGUGGACGCAUGCGGAUCCUGUUCAACCAACCCUCCAGAGAUUUCCAAAGAUGAACUGUGUCAGGCUGGUGACAUGGAUGCAUGUGGAUUCUGUUCAACCAACCCUCCUGAGAUUUCCAAAGAUGAACCGUGUCAGGUUGGUGACGUGAAUUCAUGUGGAUCCUGUUCAACCAACCCUCAUGAGAUUUCCAAAGAUGAACUGUGUCAGGCUGGUGACAUGGAUGCAUGUGGAUUCUGUUCAACCAACCCUCCU